rnacentral:rRNA from 1 species
GAUCCUGGCUCAGGAUGAACGCUGGCGGCGUGCUUAACACAUGCAAGUCGAACGAAGCACUUGAUUUGAUUUUCUUCGGAGAUGAAGAUCUUGUGACUUAGUGGCGGACGGGUGAGUAACGCGUGGGUAACCUGCCUCACACAGGGGGAUAACAGUUAGAAAUGACUGCUAAUACCGCAUAACCCGAUAGGAUCGCAUGAUCCAGACGGAAAAGAUUUAUCGGU